rnacentral:rRNA from 1 species
UUGAUCUUUCUAGAAACACUUUCCAGUACCUCUACUUUGUUACGACUUAUUUCAAUUUAUCUAUGAAAGCGACGGGCAAUAUGUACAUAUUUUAAUUUUUAAUCAUUUUAAUAAAUUAAAUAAAAUUACAUUUAAAUCCACCUUUAUUUAAAUAUUACAAAAUAAAAUCCAUUUAAAUAAAUUUAUUGUAAUCCAUUAUAUUCUUAAUUAUAAUCUGCAUCUUGAUUUGAUUUAAUUUUUAAUUAUUAAUUUUAAAAUAUUAUUAAUUAUUAAAAAAUAUUUUUUUAACAACGAUAUACAAAAUAAUAAAUUAAGUAAAUUUAUUCGUGGAUUAUCAAUUAAUAAACAGAUUCCUCUAAAUAAACUAAAAUACCGCCAAAACAUUUAAGUUUCAAUAAAUAAUUAUAUACUAUUUUAGUAUUUUUAAAUUUAAAUUUUAAAUAAUAGGG